rnacentral:misc_RNA from 1 species
AUUACCGAGUUUACAACUCCCAAACCCAAUGUGAACGUUACCAAACUGUUGCCUCGGCGGGAUCUCUGCCCCGGGUGCGUCGCACCCCGGACCAAGGCGCCCGCCGGAGGACCAACCAAAACUCUUAUUGUAUACCCCCUCGCGGGUUUUUUUAUAAUCUGAGCCUUCUCGGCGCCUCUCGUAGGCGUUUCGAAAAUGAAUCAAAACUUUCAACAACGGAUCUCUUGGUUCUGGCAUC